rnacentral:lncRNA from 1 species
UUGUGUAUAGAUUGAUGAGGAGAAAAAAACAAUUUAAUCAAUUUUAGAAUAUGGUUCUAACAAAAUGUGGAAAAAGUCAAUGGGUCUGAAUACUUUCCGAAGGCACUGUAUACCCUCACAAUGAUACACUGUUUGCACAACCUAGUGAUUAAUUCCAUUUUUUAUGUUACCACCACCUGUCCACAUUUGCUCAACACCACCCCAUGUAAGUGUAGGUUUGUUCAGCUGGCUAUAUUUGUUUGUUAAUUUACUUUCUUGUUUGGUCAGCUUGGUACACACAGGUGUAACUACAUACGAUUCGUUUGACCGGUUGUUACCACCAACCAUUACAACAAGCACAGAUAGUGAUCUCACAUUUCAUACAGAAAUUACUGAAUUACACUACUCAAUUCAGUAGAUAGUACUUUGUCUUCCAUACAUGCAACAAAUGUAACACUUGCUAAAGAUAUAUUUACAGAAGUGAAGUAUCUAGUUGUCUGCUAUAGAUUUGGAGUUACAUAAGGUUUCUAGUUUGGGUUGUUAGUUGUCAUGCUCAAAAUGGAAACAAAAAUGUGUCUUACCCCAUUUGAAAGGGCAUUCCCUCCAUUAAUCUUAAAUAUGGUUAAUAGCAAAAGCAUAUGUAUCUUUGUGGACAGGCCUUUGGCCCAAACCCCUGUUUCAUGUGGUGAGGCCCUGUGGGCCCACAGUGAGUCAGCUCUUGGACAUGCAGCAUGCAAUCUGGGCAAGGGAUGGGUGGGCUGUGGCUAGUUUGGGCUGGAGCUCGGCAGGGUGGGAUUGGGGCUAGUUUGGACUGGAUGGGGUUUGGGCUAGAGCUGGGCCUCCUGGGGCUUGGUGGGCUAGGGCCGGGCUCCUAGAAGAGCUCAACCCACCACUGAUGUACUUAGGUGAUGAGAGUCAUUUGAUUAGGGAUUUGUAACUUCAUCUAGCAUGCUCUAGUCAUUGCGUGACGACUCGCCCUUAAUUGAAUUCCGCUGCUCUGUUGAUCACUACACACGUCUGAAUCUGCCAUCCUAGAAGUAAUUUGUGUGACUUCAAAAUGAAGGGCGUUGUACAAAACAAAUUCAUCAGGGAUUGGAUCGUCUCUAACAAAUCUAACCAAUCAGAGUAUCAAAGUUGAUAACGUCAUCACGUAGGCUGGCUCUGGCCCAACCCAACGGUUUCCGGGACCAAUCAGAAUGGUCAGAAUGUGUUCACCUUCUAGAAAUCGUAGGGGAGGUAAAUCCAGACUCAUCGUGGAAAAGAAACGUCAGUUUGGACGGAGCAAUGUGGAUGGGUAGCCAGUCUUUCUUCAGAGCCCUUUCCUGGAGCAGCUGUUAUGCUUGAGCAGAGUUUUCCUCGUUUCUACAUGUGAUUCAGAACAGAGAGAGAAAGAGAGGUAUGUUAGCCUAGGGAGAACAUAAAAAGGAACAUAAAUAGCCUAGUGCAGAAACAUAUCAAUGUGCUGUUAGCAUUGGUUUCAAGCAUCCUUUUAAUGGACAGAGCUGAGAUGUCUGCGCAGAGCGAGGGACAUACGGUGCAACUCCCACAGCUAUACGCCAUGUUGAGCCGGCCACAUUAAAUGCCUGCCAGUCUGCA